GSMRRCGWACGUAGCAGAGAUGCAUCAGGUGCCCUUCGGGGAAAGUUSAGACAGGUGGUGCAUGGUUGUCGUCAGUAGGGKCGUGRGAUGUUGGGUUAAGUCCCGCAACGAGCGCAMCCCUUGAMWRURKRGUUGCCAGCAGGUMARGCUGGGCACUCUAGAGUGACUGCCGGUGACAAACCGGAGGAAGGUGGGGAUGACGUCAAAUCAUCAUGCCCCUUAUGACCUGGGCUACACACGUACUACAAUGGCCGGUACAACGGGAAGCGAAGCCGCGAGGUGGAGCCAAUCCCAGCAAAGCCGGUCUCAGUUCGGAUUGCAGGCUGCAACUCGCCUGCAUGAAGUCGGAAUUGCUAGUAAUCGCGGAUCAGCAUGCCGCGGUGAAUACGUUCCCGGGUCUUGUACACACCGA
rnacentral:rRNA from 1 species